GUUUUUUUAUACCAAGUUCAGAAGUCUUCCUCCAUUGUUUGAGAAUACACGAUGGACCUGACUCUUGCAAAUUGCAACUCUAACAUGUCACACAUACCGAGUUUACCUUGCCGUCUCACCUGAUGGACAAACGAUUGUAACCGGAGCAGGAGAUGAAACCUUAAGGUUCCUGUCCAUGAAAGCCUAGCUCAGGAGCUGGUUCAGCGGAUUCGACAGGACAGCUUCGGCGUUCUCAUCGGCCCACCAGGUUAGCUUCGACAGUCAAUUGAAACUCCUUCAAAAGCUUUUAUGUCUUCUACUCUAUAUGAAGUUGAAGAGGAGAGAGUUGGUGUACAUGUUUAUAGUGGGCUAUAUGAGGAACUAGAAUAGUAUUAGUGAACUUGGUGAGGAGGCAUUGUUUCCCGGUGUACUGGAAUGGAGAUAAUAGGUGUGUGCUUAGAGGCCAGAAUCAUUUACCCAACAUUUGGAGAUUGCAUAUCGUAACAAGGUUAAAUGUCUUUCUCUAGAGUGUAGACUUAACUAAAAAAAAUUCUACAUGCUGCUUCUUACCGCUUUGAGUUUUAAAAUUUUAAGAUUCAUAAGCUAUGUUUGCUUUUUAUGUUUCCUUUUGUUGUUGAGAAUUCAUGUACUGAUGCUGAUAACACAACAGACCAUUUUCGUUUGGAUGUUUUUUCACCCAGGUAUGUCUCAUGAGGUUUCAACCCUCUAGGUCUUUUGCAGGUUCCAGGUUCCAGGUUCCAGGUUUAGGUGAGUUAUGUGUAAAAAAAUGUAAUAUUCCUUUCAGCUGAAUGAUUGCCUAGAUAAUGUUGUACUAAAUUACUAAUGUAGGAAUUCAUACUAUCUUUACCGGGAUGAUGAUACUUGAGAAGCUUGGCUUAGUGUUAAUCCCUCCUGCUUCCCACUACUACGACUUUUACAAUGUUCCAUACUUCGAUUUUUUCAUAGGCAAACAGUUUUUAAAGGCUUACACGUGUUCUCGAAGUUGUUAGUCCUAAAUUCCUAAUGCUAAAAUAAUAAAAUCAACAUUUAUAUGAUUAUGAUCGCAAGAUAAUAGUUCUUCACUUUUUUGAGUUGAGAAAAAAGUAUUAAUUAACUACACAACCUUUUAAAAAAUAGAUAUUUAGACAAAUGUUUAAAACUAAACAUAAUAAUUUAUCUAACAUAUAAAAAUAAUACGAAGAUCAACUUAUAAUACUGAGAGGCAAAAAUGAAAUAAGAAAGAUCUUUACACCAAAAUAGAUAUACAGUAGAAAAUAUGCUAUGAAAAUGAAAGUUUAAUAAAUAAAUUUUACUGUAAGAACAUAUU